UACGGAGGGAGCUAGCGUUGUUCGGAAUUACUGGGCGUAAAGCGCACGUAGGCGGAUCUUUAAGUCGGGGGUGAAAUCCCGGGGCUCAACCCCGGAACUGCCUUCGAUACUGAGGAUCUUGAGUUCGGGAGAGGUGAGUGGAACUGCGAGUGUAGAGGUGAAAUUCGUAGAUGUUCGCAAGAACACCAGUGGCGAAGGCGGCUCACUGGCCCGAUACUGACGCUGAGGUGCGAAAGCGUGGGGAGCAAACAGG
rnacentral:rRNA from 1 species